rnacentral:rRNA from 1 species
CAGCCCUAAACGAUGCGCGUUAGGUGUAUCGGUGACCACGAGUCACCGAGGUGCCGAAGGGAAACCGUGAAACGUGCCGCCUGGGAAGUACGGUCGCAAGGCUGAAGCUUAAAGGAAUUGGCGGGGGAGCACCACAACGGGUGGAGCCUGCGGUUUAAUUGGACUCAACGCCGGGAACUCACCGGAUAAGACAGCGGAAUGAUUGCCGGGCUGAAGACCCUGCAUGACCAGCUGAGAGGAGGUGCAUGGCGUAGACGUCU